CUUUUGUGGCUUAUUGUUCUUGUAAGAUGCCUGUCGUGGAAAUAGGGCAGGUGUCUCGUAGCCGAUACCGAGCAGCUCUGCGGAUGAGCCGGCGUGUCGCUGGUGGCCUCGUGCUCUCUCUGCCGUCAUGGCCUGGGUUCUUUACAGAGACCUUUAGAGGAGCAAAGCACCCUGUUUCCUGUGGCUUCCUGCAGCUUCAUUUGAGAUCAAUUCUUUGUCCGCCAGAAAAUCCAGCUGGAAAAAUAGCCUCUAAGUGAUGGAGGAGAUGAAGAUCCUGGGCUCGCGCUCAUGGGAAACAGCUCGCUGUGUGUCUGCUGUACUCCUCUGGGGGAGGGGGCGGAUUUUUGUUUUAAACUCUACCACGUAUUUUAUAUAACCAGAAACAUCUUCACCGUGGUCUUCUGUGCAUGGUUGAAAAGCUGUGGAAAGCGUAGUGACAUCACUGGGACUUUUCCAAGGCAGUGGUUUAUUAUCUCAUUGACCAAAGGAGUCUACGGACUUGGGGUAUGAGUUUGUUUAAACAAUUUGGGAUUUGCCUUAAUCUCUUCUAAAUACAUGACAUGUUCUGAGCAGUCAAACCUACGACCGAGAUGGACUGAUAACGGCCUGGGAGCAGGGGCUUGGUUUUUGCUUUGACACGUGCUCAGGAAGUGGCGGGGCUCUUCCUCUUAAUAGUAACCUAAUGGCAUCAGCCAUAGGCCUUGCAAAACAGGGUCAGUGUUUCCCACGUUUUCAGAGGUGGGGAACUGAGAUGCAGUGAUUUACUGAAGGUCUUGCAGCCCAUCAGAAGUGAUACUGGGCUUAGGAGCUGAGCUCCUUGCUCCGGGAUGAAUCGUUCACGGGCAGCCGUCCUGCAGGACGAAAAUACAGCCCCUGUGUGUGUGUGAUUUAAUAACCGAAUACGGCCAGGUAAAAUGACUAAUUUUUCAUUGACACUGAGCUCCCGCUGGCCUUCGGCGAGGCUUUUGCCAUCUGCCAGCGCCCACGUCAGGGAAGCCCGAUGUAGAGGACAGUGAUUGUCUGGGGAGGCGCUGGCUCUGCCUGCGGGUAGCGAGCAGGAGAGGGGCGCUGGGCUGUGUCAGCCACGUGCUGCCUGUUGUAGGGCAUUUAAAGCAGGGUAUAAAUAAUUUGAAGCUGUGCAGACUGAGAGCCGCGUCUCCUCGCGCGUUGGCUGGAGGAUGGGUAGGCAUAGGUGAUGAAAACUCCCAGGAAGUUCCUGCCUAGGGAGCCUGAAAGAGCUGGUUGGUGGCUUCUCUCGUUCCAGAAACCUCUGGGAUGCGCUCCGGGAUCCCGUGGGAUGGAUGAACUCCCGACGGGCGCUGCAGGGUUUGCAGGGCGGGUAUGUGGGAGGCAUCUGGAGGAGUGGCAGGGUUGCAAGCGGAUGUUUUGCAGUCCCUGCGGUGCGGGGAUCAGUGUGGCUCCAGGUUUGGCAUCUCCUGAGCCUUCCUGGUGGGCUCACGUGCCCUGCACUGGGGUGGUCCAAGGGCUUUCCCGCAGAGAUGCUAUUUUAAAACCUGUCCUUUUGCUGGGAUUCGCGCUUGCUGCUGAGAGCCUGGGUGGAGUGAGCCCUCCUUCAUGAAGAAACCCUUUCUCCCUGCUAGGUCCCAACAUUCCCAGCUUCCCGACCUGCCGACGGCCCUCGCUCGGCCGCCCGCGGCAGAAGUCAGGCUCCUCUCCAAGCACAACUGGCCCCGCGCGUCUGGCCUCAAGUUGCAGCAUUCAGGCAGCAUGACCUCACCUCCUGGUUUCCAAGAAUAACGCGCUGCCUCCCUCCCUCCCUGCCUGCCUCCCUCCCCUCCGCCGCGCCGGGGCUGUCUGUGGCGGGCGAGGGCGUCUGCCGCAGCCCGGCACCGGCCGGCACUCGGGGCCCCACGUUUGCCAGGCACCCCCAUGUCUGCCCCAUGCCCUUCAGCUCCUCUCCCCGUUGCGGGCAGGGGUGCAGGCAGCAGAAGUGAGGCAAGAAUCAGGAGAGGGUCUUCAGGGACCAGGAGAAGGGUCUUCGUGACCCCGCUGUGCUCGCAGGCUGGGUUUGGAGGAGGGAGGGUGGAUCCGCGAGGACCAGGACGAUCCCUCCACCAGCUCCAGAGGCUGGCACGGAAACACGGGGACACUUUGCCUGACUGAUCCCCAAGAAACCUGUUUUCAGCCCGGGCAGUCACGUUGAGUCAGUGUUUCAGCCUGGUCCAGAGCUGCUGAGCAUCACGGUCAUCCCUGGUAGUGACAUUGGUGCUGGAUUCGAAAAGCCCCUGAGACCCGUAUCUCACUGAAAGUGGCCCCCAUCCCCUCUGUGGUUGCCCCUCGUCUUUCUUGGCUGCAGGAUGCUAAAAUCUAUUUUCCUUUCAGCUCUGGCACGAGGACUGUGUGCGUGACCGGUGCCUGGAGGCUCACUUUGGAGAGGGCUCCGUCUCCACGGCCGAUCCCCCGUGGAGGAGGACGGGGAGCAGCGCACGGGGUUAGAGCGGGGCACGCAAGAGCGAGUCUGAAUGCGGAGAGCUGUAACAGCCUUUUAAGCUGUUGUUUCUUUAUACCUCGUGGCUGAGCCAUUUCAAAGAUUUCAGCCUUUUAAGAUCUUACCAAUUUGAGGUAGGGAUUAUAUCAAGCAGCCGGUUUAAUGGUUGCAUUAACUCGCUGUUUCCUUCGUGGCCUGGGGAAGGGACUAACAGCCCAGAGCCCAUGCGUGCUGGUAGAACCCCCUGACCUGAGAGGACCCGAAACAUGAGUUUUGCUGGAGAUGCUGUGAGCUGCAAAAAUGGCAUUUGGAGGGUGUUGGGACGGUACCUGCUGUCGGGAGGGGAGAUACAGGACGCGGUACCAGUGUGGCUCCUCUCUGAGCACUGCUGGGAGCACGUGGAGCUCCGCUGUGGCUCCAUCUUCGGUCUGAUGCUGCCGGGGAGGAUGACAGCAUCUUCCCGGGAAUUGGGUAUUACGUCGGUACGCUGCUUUGCUGUGACAAACCACACUCUUCCAGCGGAGAGGGCAGGUGAGCACCUUGGCUCAAGCAGUCUGCAGCUGGCACAGCGUUUGCCAUCAUACGUAAUGAGGUUAUUUAAGCUGUUGGCGUCAGGGCUGCAUGUGAUUAUGUGCCUGGCGGUCCAGCGAGCUGUAGCCUAAACUAGAGAUAAAGUUCAAAAUGCAAGCCCAGAUCUGAAUGUUCCUGGGGCUCCCAGCCAGGCUGGGACUUUGCAGCUCUGCUCUCGUCAGAUACCCUUAGCCGGUUUGGGCUAUAGAUUUGGGAUCAGUGGAGGGAUGGACUCGUUUCCUUCGUCAUCAUAAUUAACUUUGCUGCGUCGCUUUGCGUGCCCCUGGCUGCAGCCGGCUCCCCCGGGCACUCUUGAAUUCGGCCUCUCCAGCUCUGCUGGCCCCAGAAGAGGAGGGUAAAUUGGGCCUGGCAUCAUCAUUGCCGUACGCCUCUCGCCCUGAAACAGGCUAAAUCCGUGUAACAGCAGGUCAGGACUCCGUGCUGUCCCUGUCCCAAGGGGUAUGGCACCUCCUGGGUUUCCAUGGGGCAGACGCGGGUGGGAGCAUCUUCUGCGGGGCGUGCGGAAGUGCUGUCCCCCCGCCGCCCUCUGGCCCUGGUGCCCGGCACCGAGCUGGGGCAGCCUCCUGAAAGGCUCCUCGGACCUCCUGCCAAAAGUGUGUUUUCAGGGAAAUGCGGCUGGAACACGAGCUGGGGCUGCUGUGGAAAUUUGGCAGCGCGUCCCCUCAGUCUGCAAUUCCAGUAGCCGCAGCUCGUCCCUUCCCAUGCCCGUGAGCGCGGGAGGGAGCCGGGUCUGAGCGGCGCGGCUGGGAGCUGGGGGUGCAGCAUCCUGGGCAUCUCAGAUGCAGUCGGAUCCAAACAAACCUGAAAGUACGCACGUUAUCCUCAGCCUACUUUACAAAAAUAAGUAAAGUAAAAAGCAGAGGGGAGCUGGUCCGGUGACAGGGAUAUGUUUUUAUUUUCAGUAGUUAGUGACAGCCUUAUUGCAUAUGCCAGCUCCGUGUCUAAGAACAAUUUUAACGUAUUAUAUUUCCACUUGAUUUAGCGCAAAGGCAGGGGCCGUGUCUCUUGCGGGUGGCACCGCUGUGGGUGUCAGCGACACGUCCCCUGCAGAGUGCUGGCUCCUGCAGCUCCUGUAGCCGCUGUUUUCGGAUACGGCUGGGCUGCGAGAGCCAUUGUCACCUGUGACAGCCUCCUCCUGCCAGCCCGGUCCCCUCCAGGCUCUGGAGUGACUCUCCCUUCCUCUUCAGCCAUUUCGCAACCUCGCUGCCCGUCGCAGAUUGCUGAGAAAAUGUGGGUGGCUCUUGCAGCAGUGGCUGUGCCGCGGUGCUGGGACAGGUGGGCUGGCCGGGAUGUUUGAACCCAGGUUAUCUUCUGGAAGUCAUUGGAACUGCCAAUCCAGUGUUUUAGGGCAGAUACUUCCCGUGCCAUGGGCAGAGCAGUGCUGGCACAGGGGCACGGCUGUUUUGGGGAGCCUGUCGGUGUUUCAGCCCUCGGUUGGCACCUGCCCGGGCUCCCACCAAGGACAUCAUCCCCCUCGCUGGCCCAGGAGCUCAGCAGAGGCUUCCCAAGGCCUUCGCUUUUGACCUCAGGGCUUUUUCCUGCAAGGAAUGACCCUGUUCCUGGUAUGAGGGUCUGUGAUUUUAUGUCUCCCCUCCUUCCCUGCUUAUUCCACUUUGGGGAAGAAUCUCUCAGUCUCUUUUGUUGUGAGGAAGAGCCACUGAUAAAAAGCAGGUCCCUACCAGGCCAGGAGAUGCUCCGUGGGUGGUGGGAUUCAGCAGGGAAGCGCUCCAGGUCCUGGGGGGUUUGGGAUUGUCCUGGUGCUCCUGUUCCGCAGCUCCUGGCUGCUGGAGGAGACGACCAGCCCGGCCUCGAGUGCGUGUCGUUAGAGAUGCAAAUACUGGGCUGAUGAAGCCUGGGUGAGUAAGAUGCCAGGGAGUUCAUGAACGGAUUAAAAGGCGGUAUUUGCACGCUGCUGAGCAGCAGCUCCGGUGCCUGGCGGGCGGCCGUGGGGCAGGAGGGCUGGGAGCCGGAGCUGCUCCCCGGGAGCUUUGGAGCAGGUCUAUGGCUUGCACCCUCUGCCGCGGUCGGGGGGAGUCCACCGAAGGUGGUGAUGUUCUCCGUGUGCCUCUGCGUGCAGUGCUUUGGGCUGAUAUUCCUAUUUCUGGGCUUCACCCUGAGGAUCUGCGGGGUCCGGCCAGCGAGGGCAAGGAGAGUUUCUGGCUGCUCUCGGUGUAGCCGGCUAGCUCGGUUUUGCCGGGCUCUGGCAGUAAGGGCAGCCUGUGCUUGGCGGGUCAAGCUCCUCUGGCUUUUACCAAAACUUCCCUUUCACGGUCCUUCUCCGCAAAGACUACACUGAGACAACCGGGCAAAUGUCACUGGAAGGGGGGUUCGCCUGGGACGUGGUGGCUGUGCCUUGAGGGUUUUAGGGACUUAACUCCUAACCAGUGAUGAAGAUCUGGAGCUUGUACCCGCCUUGACCCAAAACCCUCCCAGCAGCCUUGGAAAGAGCCUUGAACUUCAUCACGGGUGAGAUGGGGGUAACGCAGGGGGGGUGAUGUUCGUAUGGGCCGUUGAAGACUUAAUUUCUCUCUCUCGCUUAAAAAACGGAGGUUCUGCAGACUCGAGGCAUUGCUCCAGGCUCUGCGGGGCCGCGGGGUUGGUGGCAAUGCCCGCGCUGGCACUUGCCACCGUGCUCCAGUGUGCUGCGGGGGGAACGUGGGGGCUGCCGGAGCUCGUGGGCGGCCGAGCCGCACAAAGGCUGGCCUGUCUGCUCUUUGGCUCCCCACAGCCCUAAGCCCUUUUUGUGAAGAAGUGGAAUUGAAAAAGCUUAAAUUCAUACAAAGCAGGACCCGGGAAUCCCCGGCCAGCCCGGGGAGAGCAGCUUCCCCUGCCCACCCCCUGCCCCGGGGCUGCCUCCGCUCCUUCGGACCCUGGUUAACGCUGCCCCGGGGGAGCUGGAGUCCGUCGGGUGAGCUUUCUUUUUAAAGGCUGGGUAUGGGAAUGCCCAAAGUGAACAGCCCGGCCUGCCAGGGGAGCAGCAGUAGCUGCAGGAGUAGGUUUUUUUUUUUUUUGUUGGUUUGUUUAAAUCUCCCUACAUGUAUCCUUUUAUCUCCUUUCUGCUCUGAUCUAACAGGCAAAACGUGUCCAAAGCGCUUGCUGUCUGUCGUAUUUGGUAAGAAAUCAAGGAACCUGCUGGUGAACACUGUCUAGCAGUGGGGUACUGGGCAUCCAGGAGGAGAUCAGUGAGUCUUUCCCAGAGUGCGGGUGGUUUUGCUGCGUAUUGAAAAGAUGGGAGAGCGUAAGACCUCUGCUGUCGGCCCCUUGCUGUAGUCUGCUGGGCAGGAGCUCCAUGGGAGCAGCCUCUGGAGACCGGCAUGUCCCUCUCGGCAGCGCCCGGGGGGAGAAGGUGUCUCCUCCGAGGGUGUUUUGGGAGGUGUGUGUGCCCAGGCGCUCCGUGCUGAGUUUUGCAGGCUCCUUGGCUGAGGUAUUUUGAGGUGACGGGGUUGACCGGGAUACUGGUGGUCUGGGCUCCAUCCCAACUUCACCAAACCUCCCGGGCUCUGCGGCUGCUGCCAACAGGUGCCGCGGGGGCUCCUGGGGCUGCCGAAAGCCUGGAGGGAGCUAAUAAUAGCCACCGCGUCCUGCGAGCUUUAAUGAGGUGCCAGCAGGAUGCAAAGAAGGGCUUUUCUUAAAUAGAAACGCAACUGUGUUUUCCUCCCGGCUGAAAGAGUUUAAGGAUGGCUGGCGCGGAGGGAAGAGGGGCUGGUGGAGGAAGGACACCCUGCUUGGCCCCGAGGGGCGGCAGGAGGGUUCUCGGCCUUUCAGUGCAUUGCUUCAAGGUCCAGGAUUUCCCCUAAAACACUAAUUGCUGUGGUGGGUAAAGUCGAAGCGUAAAAUGUUGAGUCUGGAGUGUUGCUUGGCUCUUAACCCGGGUGGGUUCAUUGCAAACGGGUGGCCCCACCAGCUCUUCUGCAGGUCCUGGGGAUGCGCACCAGCUGUGCAAUGGGAGGAGGAGGAGGAGGAGGAGGAGGGCAGCAGUGCAGGGACAGCCUUGCCGGGGCCAGGCGGCUGCAGUGAGGGAGAGCCAUGAGCAGCCCUGGCUCUCGGUGAGCAGCUCUGCCUGGGGAGAUGGAGGAGAGAGAGGGUGGUGGGUGAUGCGUACCACUGAACAGCUCUGCAUCUCCCAGUGGGGUGCAGUCCCCCCCUUUCCCUCUGCCCCUUCGUUAGCAUCCCUUCUUGUUACGUGCCUUCUUGUGGGUCAGCUGCAGCAGCUCUUCUCCCUGCCCCAUGUGUGUCUGCCCUGAGCAUCCCUGGUGGAGGGCUCCGAGCAUCCCCGGAGGAGGGCUUCAGCAUCCAGCGGCAUGGGAGCUGACGGCGCUGGGGGUUUUAUGUCUCUUGUGCCGUGUGAGAGGUGGAGGGAGCGGUGCCGGGAGGAAGGCAGUUGGUGGCUGCGGGGCCCCUGCAGACAAAGGCGUGUUACAAAAUCCCCGUGUCGCUCCUGUCCUGGCCUUCCCCUGCACAAAACAAACCCCGCCGUCAACAAAAGUGGUGGCCACCCAGCGCGGGAGCUGGUUAUCUCGCCCAGGGAAGAGCCACAGCCCCAGCCCCGAGGCCCCAGCAGCCUCCAGACCACUUUGGACACCGUGCCUGGUGCAGGUUCACCGUGCAGGAGUGUGAUGCCGACCCCUUAGAUAGACUGGCACCGCUCGGGUGCCUCCAGGGUUUCAUGCCAUGGGUCGCGGCUGUGGGAGGGUGCUCCUCUGCAUCCCAUCAGGAAUCGCCCGGCAAAGGCAGAGCUGCUGCCGACGAGGCACCGCAGCUGGGCUGUGCACCCCCGGCCUCAUCUCAGGAAGGUGUUUGCUGUGCCCUGGUGUUGACAAAGCCCAUGACGAGGGUGAAACUCCACUAAAUAAACGGCUGAGGAAAGGACAGAAUGAUGCAAAACGUGCUGUCGUCACUGACCUUCGAGGGUGUGUAAAUGAAACCCUCCUCGGGCUUGGCACUGGUGGAGGAAAUGCAUCCCGAGGCCGUACCGCUGCAAGAAUGGCACUUCAAGAGUGGUUGGCCUCAAUGCGGCUUUGUGUUUUGGUUUGUUGGGUUGUUGUGUUUUUUUUUUUUUUUCCUUCUUUAAAUAUAUAUUUUAAUAUUUAUUUAUUGACACUGCUGUAAGAUGUGUGUUGGAAGGCAGCAGCAGGGUCGCUGUGCUGGGAGGGGGCGGCGGCCGCCUGUCUGUCCCGAGGGGGGUCCUGCCCAUGGGCUGAGCCCCGAGAAACUUCAUUUUUGUGCCGAGAGCGAGCCCAGGAGCUGCUGGGAAGCUGUGCGUGUUGAGGGCUCCUCUGCUUGCAAGAGGCCUGAGCCUCUCCCCUGAAUCACUUCCAGCUUAAAAGUAAGGAAUGGGUGGGCAUGUCUUAAAAAUAAAAGCAACUAUGGGAUGUAGGUGGGGGGAAUCCCCACAAAGCUGUCCCUGGGUUGGGAGGCAAUGGUGGGGUGAUGCAGCGUUGUCCCGAGGAUUGUGCUGAGGCUGAUGGAGCAAGGGACCCGAAAAGAUGCUGGGGGCUCCCGGUGCUGUGGGUGGGCUGCAUGGCGGCGGCUGCGUGGGUCUGUCCCACGUGCGAUGGAGAGCCCCCGGCCGGCGCAGAGGGCUGGCGGAGGCAGCACGGCUCCGUGCCGGGGCAGCCAGGGUGCCGGCACGGCGAUAAGGGUUUUUUUCAAGCCGUGCCCGCGGGAGGGAAGUGCAAAGGACAUAGGUCGGCGCCGAGUUAAUGGUUUACAUUAGUGUUUACUCCUGUAUCAAUCACGCCUGCGAAUAUCAACCACUUCCUAUCAUAAAAGCACAUACGUGCGCUUUUCCGUUCGGGAGCUUGGCGGCUCCGGUAGGAAAUCUGGCGAUGGAGGGGCUGGGAGGAGGAGCUGACCCCGACGCUUGGCGAGGAGGCGGCAGGGAAGGGGCCGUGCGUGGCACGGAUGUGGCCGCAGCCAUGUCUCACGUGGAGAUAUCCGCCCCUCCCGCCGCUUCCUAUUUUCCUUUCGCUUUGUGUCGCGCGGAUGAAAAGCAGCGGCAGCAUGUCCUUGGCGGAGGCGCGGGGGGAUGCGGUGGUUCGGUUUGCAGAGAGGGGUCCCCGAGCGUCCCCCUGCCCCAGAGCGGCUGCCCCCCUUCCCUGCUCAGGGGUGACACCUUGAAUGCCUGUAGGAAGGGGUGGGCUGGGCUGGGGCAUUUUGGCCAUCAUCACCCCCUUUGUCCCUGUUGGGUUCACGGGGAGAUCCUGGAGGUCCUGGCCAGGGUGGUGACUCCAUCGCUCCAGCCAGAUCUGCUCCCUGGGACCUCCGGGAACGUCCCUCUGCGUAGCAGGACAUGGGGACCUUGCUAACCGUGGCUAGUGCCUGGGCUGGUCUUGGCUCCUCCAGCCCCCAUGCCUCCCGGGGAGCCGAGCAGCAGACACGUGAAGCUGAAACUACUUAUUCCUCUUCAUUGAACGCCAGCUCCAGCCUGCUGCUGGUGCCGUGAGUCAGCGGAGAUGCUUCGCGCUGCCGCCUUCUUGCCAUUUACCUGCUUUGACUUUUUCCCAUGAGUUUCGCAUCCCCCUCCCGCCUGCUGCCUCCCUGUCCCCGAUGUCCCCACCGCGCUGGUGGCCCGUCCCUCAGCAUCCGGGGCACCGCUCCUGGAUACCCACAGCAGCCUCUCCAUCUUCCCUUGGGCAAGUGAACGCGGAGGGUGGCCUUUUGUACGUGGAGGUGCUACUAAUGCAUGGAGCCAGCCACACUGCCCGAAUGGUCAAAGCCUCAGCAUCCACCCGGACACCGAUGGCACCAGCCGCCGUCCCUCCAGGUGGCUGGUACUGUCCUGCCUUGCAAACCGUGAGGGUUGGAUGAAGCCAUCCCCGUCCGGGAGCAGCAGCCACCCUUCUGAAUACCACCCUGUCCCGGCAGGAUGGGGCACACCGCGGGGCCCACGCGCCGCUCCUCCUCCUCUCCGGCUUUCCCUGGGCAAAGGGAACAGGAGGAUGAGGCUUUUGCCUGGUCUGUUGGGGCUUAAGGCUCUUCACCCAGGGACUGUGUGGCUUCCCGUGGGUGGACAGAGCAGAAAUGACCUUGGGAAAGUCCCAUCGCCUCCGACUGGGCGCUGCUGGUGGUGGUGGGUGCCGGCAGCGGGGAUGGGGUUGAUGUAAAGGUUUAUGUAAGAGCCACGGUGGUGUGGGGGAGGUUUCCUGGGCUGCACGUUUCGCCCUUACUGCAUUGUGAUUGAACCACAAAUUUCCCUGCGUUUGGUAACAUAAUUCCUCUUACGGGCUCUGGGACUCGUGAUUUCUCUUCCAUAGUUAAUAAACAGUGAAAGUGGAACGAAGCUUUGCUGCUUCCGUGCCCUUGUGCUGCUUGCUCCCUCCCAACCGCCUCCAGCAGAGGCUGGGGCAGCUUCGGGACUCUGGGGUGAUUACUUGUGGGCUCCCCAAAUGUGCUGGUAUUAAAGGCAGGAAAAAAGCCACAUGGGAGGUGAUCAGCUGAAUCCGGGUCCCCCGGCGCCGUGGUUCCUUGGGCGGGCGUGGGGGGCGAUGGGGUUUGCCUUCCCGGCGCUGGGAGGUGGGAACAGCAUGUGCAAAGCAUCCAGCGCCGGCUCCACAAACGUUUUCAGCAGCUGAGGCCAGUUGGCAACCAGUUCGCGUGGAAAGAUGAGAAGUGGCAAAUCCUUUGAAGAGAAACCCUUUUGCUUUAUUAGGAAAAAAUGCCCCUUGCGCUGUGCUAGUCCAGCUGGGGGAACUGGGAGCCCGUGUGUGCAGACCAGGCAAGGGAACCUCUGCUCUGCUCCCCCACUGAUAACUCGGGAGGGUGACAGCCUGCCUUUCCUUACUGUAGGUUUAUUUUUAUUGCAACUUAAGAACAGUUUAUUUUCACCCCCAUGGCGCAGACGGCGCGCGAGGGGAGCUCCUCGGGGCUGUGUGGGGCAUGGGCACGCUCCUGCGGGUCCUGUUGCAGGAGGUGGUCGGAGGGGUGGGUGCCGCGCCGGCGAGGCAUGCAGCGUGUGCUGCUCGGCUGGGAACCGCCGUGAAGCGGCUGCGAUCAAAAUACACAUGGAAAUAAAAAUACCCUGCCUGCAAGAGCAGCUGGAGCGCCCGAGGUGAGCGUGGAGCCAGAGCGAAGACGGGCAGUCUUGGACAAUGAACAGCUCGGCGUGCCGGUGUGUGCCUCAUCCUCAGUUUUCUUGGGAAUUGCCCCUGAGAGGUGAGUUUUCCCUUGCAAGCUCUUCCACGGGGCUAUUGUGCCAAUCUGAGCGAGCGCAGCGCGUUGUGGCGGCUGGGGCAGCAGCGUUGGGGGCUGCGGGGGCACCCACGGCGAGGGGCAGCGGGACGGGGUGGUUGGGGACCCGCUGCUGUGCCAGCGGAGGAGGGAGCUUCCUGGGCGAACCCGCCGUGAUUCACGGCCCAUCAUCCCCGGAGGAGGCGGCAAGACUGAAUCAGUGGUGCCUGAGGACGCGCGUGGGCGAGGGAACGUGAGCGGCUCCAGCCCCCUUGUUUUCUCCGGCGUCUUCCUUCCUUCCCUGCGCUCGGUGUGAGGUAGAUGAUGGGUGGGAAUUCAGCUCGACGUGCUGCCGAGCGAACGGGGCAGAGCCCCCAGCUCUUGUUUGAGCUGAAGCUCAUUUUCAUUUUUGAUGGCUGCGGGGGUGGCAGCAGGAGCCCGCUCGGUUUUUCAGCCCCAUUUCUGUGCCAUGGAGGCAGCUUGUCGGGGGUUUGGGUUUGCUGGGUGGGUGCCAUCCCCCUGCAGACACCCCCAUGAGCUGGUUUGUUUUCAGGAGCCGUGUCCAGGGUUUGUCCUUCCAAAGGUGGUGAAAAUCCCGGAGCUGCUGCAGGAGCCUUUGCUGCUGGGGGCGUCCCGAGCACGUAGGGGCAGGGGCUGCACCGCCCGCUGAUGGGGAUGGUUCUGGAGCCCUCGGUUUGAGGGGUUUAAUGAGGCUAAUGAGCGCGUUUAGCUUUGCACGUAACCAAUUUCUCUCGCAGCGUGUACAGGCUGCUGGGGGAGCUGGGCUGCGCCAAGGCACAGGAUGGCAGCAAACGCCGUCUGCCGAAAUCUCGGCGGUGUCAGGCUGCUGUGAGGAGAGCUGGAACGCGGCUGAAAGCUGAAUUUCCUCCCUAAUUGCGACGAGGGCGGAGUGGUCCUUUCCCAGCUCUCCCUCCUUCCCUGCGGGCAGAUGCCCUGGUGGGAAGGCCCAGGUGGCAUGGCUCUCCCGGCUGUCCCCUGUCCCACGCAGUGUCGAAGGGACACCGAAACACAGAGACAAGCUCUGAUGAUGAGAAGACGUUUGGAGACCUGUGCUGGCUACACAGCUAACAUCUAAAGCACCUAACCUCGCCGCAAAGGGCUAUGUGCAGGACUCCUCUGUGCGUGAAACGUAGUUUUGCUCAAAGAGGGUGGCAGAGUCCCCUCGGCAGCGCUGUCCUUGUCCCUUCUCCCAGGGACACUUGUGUAACCCGGGGAUCUGGUUACUGCCCGCUGCGGUGCCGGAGCCCUCUGCUCCGGCGAGAGCCGAGCAGGGAGCAACGCUUCCCGUCUGAAAUAACGAGGAGUUUGGUCUCUAAGGAGCCCUCCCUUGGAAGGGGAACAGGAGGUUACAGAGGCGGAAAAGCUGAACCGUGAGCAGCCGUGGGGGUUUGCAGCGGGUUGUCCAUCUGCUGCCACCUCCCCUGUGUGAGGAGUUAACUCUGGUUGGGCUCUGGAUUAUUUUGGUUGCAAAAUCUCCUGCUUCUGAAGCUGCUCUGAAGCUUCGGUGUCCCCAGGCUGGUCCCCUCAGCUGGGGUGGGAUGGGGGCGGUUCACCCUUGCCGAACCUCGGGGAAACAGGAGGUGCUUUUCCCAUCCCAGCCUCCCCGUUGCAAGCCAAGAAACACAAAUCUUGCUGCAGCCGUAGCCUGCCCUGGAUACCGGAGCUAAAUUAGGGACCUGGGCAGUGUCACCGCACCCCCCCGCAUUCCGUGUGGAGUUCCAGUGACCAGAGCAAUGCCUGUGGUUUCACUGCUGACUGCGGCCGAGGAGCGGAGGAGGGAGAGGGAGCUGUCGGCUCCCACCUAAAGAGGAGAAGCUGGUGGAAGCGCUGCCUUCACCCCGCCUGGGCCGGGACCGAAUGGUGCUUUCCCACCCCUGCGCCUGCUCGGCACAUCCCGGGGUGCAGGGAGAUGGUGCUUUGUGCCCAGGCUGGGAUGGAGGUUGUGUGGGUGCAGCGGGUGAUGCUGGACGUGCAGGUGGCUUCUACCGUGGUUUGGGCAUCGCCGCGUCCCUCCUGCGGCGGUAAUGGCCUCCCCCACGCAGCCUCAUUGCGUCUGACCCCGUCGCCCCGCUUGGCACCUGCCAGCGGGAACAUUUCCUCAAUAGACCAAAUCAUUCUCUUAACGAGGCUUAAUCUGCUCCUCUCCCAGCCGGGCGAGUGGCUGCUCCAUCCGUCGGCCGCUCCAUCCAUCGCAUCUCCGUCCCGCGGGGGAGCAGGGGGCGGCCGGCGGGUGCCGCGGCUGAAUUGCAGCCGGGGUGGUUUGAGAGCGCGGGGGCAGCUGUUUGCUCGCCGGCGGGUGCCCGAAUACAAAAGCAAGCGUCAGCGCUGUGCUGGUACAGGUAAUGGAGGCUGCUGCCUCCUGGUUCAUUAGAAACACAAUUAAGCUCCUUUAGAAGCGCUCGGAGUGACCUCUAAAAAUUGGGUAUGUAUUUCUGUACAUCUCCUGUUUGUCUUUGUGCAGAAUGAUGUUAACCGUCUGCUUCCUGCUGUUCAAUUUUCCCAGCGCGUAAUUACAAAUUGUUUUGUUGUUGUUUUUUUUGUUUUUGUUUUUUUUUUUCUCUUCAGUUUCCUGGCUCCCCACGCCAGGCUGCUGGGAGCGGAGCCGCAAAUAGCUGAGCUUUUCUCCAGGCCCCUUCCCUGCCUGCGCGGCUGCUGGGGCGGCUGGCGCUGCGCUGGCUUAUGGCUUCGAAUUCAGCAGGAUCCGGUUUUUAGAGUAAUUAAGCAAUGGAGGAGCAAGGAGGGGCUGCCCAGCCUCCUGUCCUCCCUGUGCCCCGAGGCUGUCGGUGGAAAUGGUGUUGUGCAAAGGGUGGCUUGGCCGAUGGAGCCAGACUCUCUUCAGUGGUUCCCAGUAACAGGACGAGGGGUAACGGGCACAAGCUGGAACAUAGGAAGUUCCGAUCAAAUAUGAGAAAAAACUUCUUUACGGCGAGGGUGACAGAGCCCCGGAACAGGCUGCCCAGGGAGGGUGUGGGGUCCCCUUCUCUGGAGACCUUCAAGACCCGCCUGGAUGCAGCCCUGAGUGAUGUGCUCUGGGCAAUGCUGCUUUAGCAGGGGAGUGGGACUAGGUGAUCUCGAGAGGUCCCUUCCAACUCUGAAAAAUUCCGUGAUUUUGGCCUUCACUGAGCUUCCCAAUGGUUUGAUGCCAGAAGCCACCCCACACACCAUCCACAGGCAUGAGUUUCCUGCGCCCCGGGAAGGGGGAGAGCCGAGGAGGUGGGAGAGGUGUGAGCAGACCCCCCGUAGCGGGGUUACGGGCGGGCGGCUGCAGCGCGCAUCCUAUUUGUCCCUUUCCCUGUGGCAAAGGGAUCCGUGCACUGUUGCGGGCAGGAAUGCAAACCGCCGUUGCUCUGCGAGCGCCGUCAGCCAGUGUGUCACUUACAAACAGGCAGCGUGCGUCCCUUGGGGCCGCAGCAAGCGUUAACCCUUGUUCCCGUGACAUCCCCCCUGUGGCAGAGUGGUCCUUGCCACGCACCGGGCACCGUUUCGGUCCAGGCCAGGGAACCAUCCCAGGGGCUGAUGCUCCUCCGCUGCCGGCUGAGCAAUCAACCAGCUUGGGAGCUCGACCGGGAGAGGGCAGAGGGGCGAGAAGUACAUUUCUGUGUCUGUUUUGGUAAAACGAGCAAACGCGCUGUCUCCUGCCGAUGCAGGCUGGGGGUGGGAUGCAUUUCCAUGUGCCGCUGCCACGCAGAGGUGCAGACCUGCUCCGGGGUGUUUCGCCGAGCCCGGCCGCAGGAGCUGCCAGAGACAGGAAGGAAAAUGGACUAAAGAUAGACACGUUUGUUGAUCUAUAUUUAGGAGUAUAAUAAUUAAGGCUGGUUGUUUAUCCUGACAAACAUGGUAAUUAAUAGUCUGUGGCAGACGAGCAAAUCCUUCCUGCACCUGGGAACUGAGAGUUGUCUCUGGGAAGGGCGAGAGCCUCAUUAAAGAGCUGCUGCUGCUUGUGAGAAAAGCUGUUAUUUAGGGAACAUCUGGCUGUUUGCUUUGUCCCCUCCCCGGGCACGCGUGGCUGGGUGCUGGUGGCCUCCCAAGCCACGGGGAGGGUGCC